AUUGAACGCUGGCGGAAUGCUUUACACAUGCAAGUCGAACGGCAGCACGGACUUCGGUCUGGUGGCGAGUGGCGAACGGGUGAGUAAUAUAUCGGAACGUAUCCAAUAAUGGGGGAUAACUAAUCGAAAGGUUGGCUAAUACCGCAUACGUCCUACGGGAGAAAGCUAGGGACCUUCGGGCCUGGCGUUAAUGGAGCGGCCGAUAUCGGAUUAGCUAGUUGGUGAGGUAAAGGCUCACCAAGGCGACGAUCCGUAGCUGGUCUGAGAGGACGACCAGCCACACUGGAACUGAGACACGGUCCAGACUCCUACGGGAGGCAGCAGUGGGGAAUUUUGGACAAUGGGCGAAAGCCUGAUCCAGCCAUUCCGCGUGAGUGAAGAAGGCCUUCGGGUUGUAAAGCUCUUUCGCAAGAGAAGAAAACUUACCCUCUAACAUAGGGUGAGGUUGACGGUAUCUUGAUAAGAAGCACCGGCUAACUACGUGCCAGCAGCCGCCGUAAAAC
rnacentral:rRNA from 1 species